rnacentral:rRNA from 1 species
AUGCAGUCGAGCUGUACACAGAAGCUUGCUCCCGGGUGACGAGCGGCGGACAGGUGAGUAAUGUCUGGGAAACUGCCUGAUGGAGGGGGAUAACUACUGGAAACGGUAUCUAAUACCGCAUAACGUCUCACGACCAAAGAGGGGGACCUUCUGGCCUCUUGCCAUCUCAUGUGCCCAGAUGGGAUUAUCUAUUAUGUGGGGUAACGGCUCUCCUAUGCGACAAUCCCUAUCUGGUCUGAGAGGAUGACCCCCCACACUGGAACUGAGACACGGUCCACACUCCUACGGGAGGCGGCAGUGGGGAAUAUUGCACAAUGGGCGCACGCCUGAUGCACCCCUGCCGCGUGUGUGAAAAAAGCCUUCUGGUUGUAAAGUACUUUCUCCGGGGAGGAAAGUGUUGAGGUUAAUAACCUCUCCAAUUGACGUUACCCGCACAAAAAACACCGGCUAACUCCGUGCCACCACCCGCGGUAAUACGGAGGGUGCGAGCGUUAAUCUCAAUUACUGGGCGUAAAGCGCACGCACGCGGUCUGUCAAGUCUGAUAUGAAAUCCCCGGGCUCAACCUGGGAACUGCGAUUCUAAACUGUCAGGCUAUAGUCUUGUAUAGGGGGGGUAUAAUUCUAGGUGUAUCGGUGAAAUGCGUAUAGAUCUGUAGGAAGUACCGGCUGGCCGAAGGCGGCCCCCCUGUACAAAGACUGCACGACUCACGUGCGAAAGCGUGUGGAGCACACACGAUUAUAUACCCUGGUAGUCCACGCCGUAUACGAUGAUCUACUUGUAGGUUGUGCCCUUGAGGCGUGUCUUCCUGGCAGCUAACGCGUUAAGUCUGACCAGCCUUGUGGAGUACAGCCGCACGGUUAUAACUC